rnacentral:rRNA from 1 species
ACAGCAGCAGCCGCGGGAAUACGUAGAGUGCGAGCGUUAAUCGGAAUUACUGGGCGUAAAGCGUGCGCAGGCGGUUAUAUAAGACAGAUGUGGAAUCCCCGGGCUCAACCUGGGACCUGCAUUUGUGACUGUAUAGCUAGAGUACGGUAGAGGGGGAUGGAAUUCCGCGUGUAGCAGUGAAAUGCGUAGAUAUGCGGAGGAACACCGAUGGCGAAGGCAAUCCCCUGGACCUGUACUGACGCUCAUGCACGAAAGCGUGGGGAGCAAACAGGAUUAGAUACCCGAGUAGUCCCUGUCUCUUAUAC